GUUAGCGGCGGACGGGUGAGUAACACGUGGAUAACCUACCUAUAAGACUGGGAUAACUUCGGGAAACCGGAGCUAAUACCGGAUAAUAUUUUGAACCGCAUGGUUCAAAAGUGAAAGACGGUCUUGCUGUCACUUAUAGAUGGAUCCGCGCUGCAUUAGCUAGUUGGUAAGGUAACGGCUUACCAAGGCAACGAUGCAUAGCCGACCUGAGAGGGUGAUCGGCCACACUGGAACUGAGACACGGUCCAGACUCCUACGGGAGGCAGCAGUAGGGAAUCUUCCGCAAUGGGCGAAAGCCUGACGGAGCAACGCCGCGUGAGUGAUGAAGGUCUUCGGAUCGUAAAACUCUGUUAUUAGGGAAGAACAUAUGUGUAAGUAACUGUGCACAUCUUGACGGUACCUAAUCAGAAAGCCACGGCUAACUACGUGCCAGCAGCCGCGGUAAUACGUAGGUGGCAAGCGUUAUCCGGAAUUAUUGGGCGUAAAGCGCGCGUAGGCGGGUUUUUAAGUCUGAUGUGAAAGCCCACGGCUCAACCGUGGAGGGUCAUUGGAAACUGGAAAACUUGAGUGCAGAAGAGGCAAAGUGGAAUUCCAUGUGUAGCGGUGAAAUGCGCAGAGAUAUGGAGGAACACCAGUGGCGAAGGCGACUUUCUGGUCUGUAACUGACGCUGAUGUGCGAAAGCGUGGGGAUCAAACAGGAUUAGAUACCCUGGUAGUCCACGCCGUAAACGAUGAGUGCUAAGUGUUAGGGGGUUUCCGCCCCUUAGUGCUGCAGCUAACGCAUUAAGCACUCCGCCUGGGAGUACGACCGCAAGGUUG
rnacentral:rRNA from 1 species